rnacentral:rRNA from 1 species
CACGUAGGGCGCAAGCGUUGUCCGGAAUUAUUGGGCGUAAAGAGCUCGUAGGUGGUCUGUUGCGUCCGCUGUGAGAACUCGGGGCUUAACCCCGAGCCUGCAGUGGAUACGGGCAGACUAGAGGUAGGUAGGGGAGAAUGGAAUUCCCGGUGUAGCGGUGAAAUGCGCAGAUAUCGGGAGGAACACCGGUGGCGAAGGCGGUUCUCUGGGCCUUACCUGACGCUGAGGAGCGAAAGCGUGGGGAGCGAACAGG